rnacentral:rRNA from 1 species
CGAACGGGUGAGUAAUGCGUGACCAACCUGCCCCAUGCUCCAGAAUAGCUCUUGGAAACGGGUGGUAAUGCUGGAUGCUCCAACUUGACGCAUGUCUUGUUGGGAAAGUGUUUAGUGGCAUGGGAUGGGGUCGCGUCCUAUCAGCUUGUAGGCGGGGUAAUGGCCCACCUAGGCUUCGACGGGUAGCCGGCCUGAGAGGGCGGACGGCCACAUUGGGACUGAGAUACGGCCCAGACUCCUACGGGAGCAGCAGCG